rnacentral:rRNA from 1 species
CCAGCCGUAAACGCUGAAUGCUAGGUGUGGGUGUCGCAGGGCAUCCGUGCCGCAGUUAACGCGUUAAGCAUUCCGCCUGGGGAGUACGAUCGCAAGAUUGAAACUCAAAGGAAUUGACGGGGGCCCGCACAAGCGGUGGAGCACGUGGUUUAAUUCGAUGCAAACCGAAGAACCUUACCUGGGUUUGACAUGUACGUAUUAGGGGCAUGAAAGUGUUCUGACCCUAUUUUCGGAUGGGGAGCGUACACAGGUGC